UAUAGUCAGUGGGGGUUGCAAUUAUCAUGAAAAGUGUAGAUUAUUGCUUCUGUCUUGACAUAUGCUGGUCAAAAUGUUUGUGGGAAUUGGGAAGAUGUCAGACAACUAUUGUAGCAAUGUGUGUGUGAGGAUGCUGUGAGUGUCAGAGGUGCAGUGUGUGUGUGAGGGUGCUGUGAGUGUCAGGGGUGCAGUGUGUGUGUGUGAUGGUGCUGUGAGUGUUAGCGGUGCAUUUUGUGUGUCCUGUGAGUGUCAGGGGUGCAGUGUGUGUGUGUGUGUGUGUG